rnacentral:rRNA from 1 species
ACCAGACUCCUACGGGAGGCAGCAGUGGGGAAUAUUGCACAAUGGGGGGAACCCUGAUGCAGCGACGCCGCGUGAGUGAAGAAGUAUUUCGGUAUGUAAAGCUCUAUCAGCAGGGAAGAAAAUGACGGUACCUGACUAAGAAGCCCCGGCUAAAUACGUGCCAGCAGCCGCGGUAAUACGUAUGGUGCAAGCGUUAUCCGGAUUUACUGGGUGUAAAGGGAGCGCAGGCGGUACGGCAAGUCUGAUGUGAAAGCCCGGGGCUCAACCCCGGUACUGCAUUGGAAACUACCGGACUGGAGUGUCGGAGGGGUAAGUGGAAUUCCUAGUGUAGCGGUGAAAUGCGUAGAUAUUAGGAGGAACACCAGUGGCGAAGGCGGCUUACUGGACGAUCACUGACGCUGAGGCUCGAAAGCGUGGGGAGCAAACAGGAUUAGAUACCCUAGUAA